UGGGGAAUAUUGCACAAUGGAGGGAACUCUGAUGCAGCGACGCCGCGUGAACGAAGAAGGCUUUCGAGUCGUAAAGUUCUUUUAUAUGGGAAGAUAAUGACGGUACCAUAAGAAAAAGCCACGGCUAACUACGUGCCAGCAGCCGCGGUAAUACGUAGGUGGCAAGCGUUGUCCGGAUUUAUUGGGCGUAAAGCGAGCGCAGGCGGUCAAUUAAGUCUGAUGUGAAAGCCCCCGGCUCAACCGGGGAGGGUCAUUGGAAACUGGUUGACUUGAGUGCAGAAGAGGAGAGUGGAAUUCCAUGUGUAGCGGUGAAAUGCGUAGAUAUAUGGAGGAACACCAGUGGCGAAGGCGACUCUCUGGUCUGUAACUGACGCUGAGGCUCGAAAGCGUGGGUAGCAAACAGG
rnacentral:rRNA from 1 species